rnacentral:rRNA from 1 species
UAAAGCCCCUUCGACGAGUCGAGUUGUUUGGGAAUGCAGCUCUAAUUGGGAGGUAAAUUUCUUCUAAAGCUAAAUACUGGCCAGAGACCGAUAGCGCACAAGUAGAGUGAUCGAAAGAUGAAAAGCACUUUGGAAAGAGAGUCAAAAAGCACGUGAAAUUGUUGAAAGGGAAGCGCUUGCAGCCAGACAUGCCCGUGGCUGCUCAUCCAGACCCCCCAAGGUCUGGUGCACUCUCCCACGGGCAGGCCAGCAUCGGUUUGAGCGGUUGGAUAAAGGCUCUGGGAAUGUAGCUCCCCUUUGGGGAGUGUUAUAGCCCGUUGCGGAAUGCAGCCAGCUCGGACCGAGGCCCGCGCGCAUGCUAGGAUGCUGGCGUAAUGGCUGUAAGCGGCCCGUCUUGAAACACGGACCAAGGAGUCUAACAUCUAUGCGAGUGUUUGGGUGUCAAGCCCGGGCGCGCAAUGAAAGUGAAUGGAGGUGGAAACCCCUUUGAGGGCGCACCAUCGACCGAUCCUGAUGUCUUCGGAUGGAUUUGAGUAGG